rnacentral:rRNA from 1 species
GACAGAGGUGCCGAGCGUUAGGCGGAAUCACUGGGCUUAAAGCGUGUGUAGGCGGACCCGUCAGUGUCUUGUGAAAUCCCCCGGCUCAACCGGGGAACCGCUGGGCAUACUGCGGGUCUUGAGAGGCCUAGGGGCGAGCGGAACAGGCGGUGGAGCGGUGAAAUGCGUAGAUAUCGCCUGGAACGCCGACGGCGAAAACAGCUCGCUGGGGGCCUUCUGACGCUGAGACACGAAAGCCAGGGGAGCGAACGGG